rnacentral:rRNA from 1 species
AGCGAACGCUGGCGGCAGGCUUAACACAUGCAAGUCGAGCGGGCGUAGCAAUACGUCAGCGGCAGACGGGUGAGUAACACGUGGGAACGUACCUUUGGUUCGGAACAACACAGGGAAACUUGUGCUAAUACCGAAUAAGCCCUUACGGGAAGGAUUAUCGCCGAAGAUCGGCCCGCGUCUGAUUAGCUUGUUGGUGAGGUAACGGCUCACCAAGGCGACGAUCAGUAGCUGGCUGAGAGGAUGAUCAGCCA